GACGAACGCUGGCGGCGCGCUUUAUGCAUGCAAGUCGAACGGACCUUCGGGUCAGUGGCGGACGGCUGAGUAACGCGUAGGCAAUCUGCCCAGUGGUGGGGGAGUAACUACGCCGAAAGGUAGAGCUAAUACCGCAUAAGUUCGGUAGUUGAAAUCACCGCCCGAGGAAAGACAGCAAUGCACCACUGGAGGAGCCUGCGUCCUAUCAGGUAGUUGGUGGGGUAACGGCCUACCAAGCCGAUGACGGGUAGCUGGUCUGAGAGGACGACCAGCCAGAAGGGGACUGAGAC
rnacentral:rRNA from 1 species